GGGUCAGUAGGUUGGUCGUGCCACCGGUACGUACUGGUCUCACUGAUUCCUCCUUCCUGAAGAACCGUAAUGCCGUUAAUUUGGUGUUGCGGGGAAACAGGACUGUUACUUUGAAAAAAUUAGAGUGUUUAAAGCAAGCUAACGCUUGAAUACACUAGCAUGGAAUAAUGAAAUAGGACGAUCGAUCCUAUUUUGUUGGUUUCUAGGAUUGACGUA
rnacentral:rRNA from 1 species